AAGAAGAAGAAGAAGAAACUUUAGUAAAGAAUAGUCCGGCAGUUCUUGAUGUGGUGGCCUCAGGUGACGGCUCGAAGUUCUUGGACUCGAGCGGCAUCUUCGGCUUGCCGGACGGCCCAGAGCUGGUCUGCCAGCUCUGAACUUCUGAUAGCCGCCUCCCAGCGGCGGCGACGCCUACGGAGAAGGUCCCCGGCGGCUCCCGCAUCCGGGGCGGCGUCGGGAAGAACGGAGCUCGAGCCUUCUACUCUGGCAACAGCCGCGAUUAUGGACGCGUCGCCAACGGAGCUGCUUUGAUUACCGUUGUUGCCGGAGAAGAAGGGCCACUCGACACACCGACCUCAUUUGAGCGCUGUGGAAGAUGGCGAGAAAGAAGGUGCGGGAUCCAGCCACUUCACCUUAACGAACCAAUGCGAUCUUCAAAACUGGACGCCACUCAUCCGCCUCGAAAGUAUUCUUUCCUAGAGGCACUCGGAACCACAUCCACGUCGUCUUUAGUGGAAGGUGUACAGACAAUUUCCCAGUUCUCCUUAUAAAUUUUGCUUUGCCUUUA